GUGACUUCCCAGGAAGUCAUGGUGCUGUGGGAAACAAUGCUGAUGACUGAAAAAGUGACACUCUUCCCACUUGGCCAAUAUUUUACCAUUGGUGUUAGCACUGAACCUAGCACGGGGACCUAAACUCAAAGGCUUUGAUGGCUAUUUUGGAUUUCACUGAACCAGAACAGUGGGAUCUGCUAUCCUCAUUUCUCUUGAUCUGUCAAGCAUCAACUGAGUACUGUCCAUCAAAAGAACAACUCACCUUUCUCCACUACCUAACAAAGAAGGAAUAGAUCAAGACCCGUGGCUGAGUUGCUGCAACAAAAAUAUGAAAUGUUGAAGAAAUUGUGGAUAUCCCAGGACCAUUCAAGGCUGAACAAGAGUGCUACAUGUUCUUCUGGGAAAAUAGGAACCUUCCCUAACCAAUAGGAACCAGCCUGAGACAAUCAAACUCCUUUCACAGAACCCACGGACGUCACAGGAUGGCAACCGUCUUCAGGAAUUACUGAAUGGAAUUGAACAACUAAUACUAUAAGAUUGGUGGUAGAGGAGGAAUCUGGUGAAAUAUUUUACUUGUUAUAACUCACAACAAAAACAAGUUUUGCAAUCCAUACAAACAGUAACAAUACCAGGAUUAAAAAAAAAUCUCACUCAAAAGGAUUAAUGCGAAUGUAACCAUUUUCACCUAAUUAAUCACAACCACACAAAUGAACAAGUGCAAGACUAUGCUCUUAACCUGCCAUUCUGACAAACUGUAAGAGAAAAACCUCUGAAAUCUCUCAUAAAAAGGUAAAAAACAACCUUUAAUCUGCACUAGCUAAGUAAAUACACGCAAUAAAAG